AGAGUUUGAUCAUGGCUCAGGACGAACGCUGGCGGCGUGCCUAAUACAUGCAAGUCGAACGAAGCUUUCUUUCACCGAAUGCUUACAUUCACCGAAAGAAGCUUAGUGGCGAACGGGUGAGUAACACGUAGGCAACCUGCCCAAAAGAGGGGGAUAACACUUGGAAACAGGUGCUAAUACCGCAUAACCAUGAACACCGCAUGAUGUUCAUGUAAAAGACGGCUUUUGCUGUCACUUUUGGAUGGGCCUGCGGCGUAUUAACUUGUUGGUGGGGUAACGGCCUACCAAGGUGAUGAUACGUAGCCGAACUGAGAGGUUGAUCGGCCACAUUGGGACUGAGACACGGCCCAAACUCCUACGGGAGGCAGCAGUAGGGAAUCUUCCACAAUGGACGAAAGUCUGAUGGAGCAACGCCGCGUGAAUGAAGAAGGCCUUCGGGUCGUAAAAUUCUGUUGUCAGAGAAGAACGUGCGUGAGAGUAACUGUUCACGUAUUGACGGUAUCUGACCAGAAAGCCACGGCUAACUACGUGCCAGCAGCCGCGGUAAUACGUAGGUGGCGAGCGUUGUCCGGAUUUAUUGGGCGUAAAGGGAACGCAGGCGGUCUUUUAAGUCUGAUGUGAAAGCCUUCGGCUUAACCGAAGUAGUGCAUUGGAAACUGGAAGACUUGAGUGCAGAAGAGGAGAGUGGAACUCCAUGUGUAGCGGUGAAAUGCGUAGAUAUAUGGAAGAACACCAGUGGCGAAAGCGGCUCUCUGGUCUGUAACUGACGCUGAGGUUCGAAAGCGUGGGUAGCAAACAGGAUUAGAUACCCUGGUAGUCCACGCCGUAAACGAUGAGUGCUAAGUGUUGGAGGGUCUCCGCCCUUCAGUGCUGCAGCUAACGCAUUAAGCACUCCGCCUGGGGAGUACGGUCGCAAGACUGAAACUCAAAGGAAUUGACGGGGGCCCGCACAAGCGGUGGAGCAUGUGGUUUAAUUCGAAGCAACGCGAAGAACCUUACCAGGUCUUGACAUCUUCUGACAAUUCCAGAGAUGGAACGUUCCCUUCGGGGACAGAAUGACAGGUGGUGCAUGGUUGUCGUCAGCUCGUGUCGUGAGAUGUUGGGUUAAGUCCCGCAACGAGCGCAACCCUUAUCUUUAGUAGCCAGCGGUUUGGCCGGGCACUCUAGAGAGACUGCCAGGGAUAACCUGGAGGAAGGCGGGGAUGACGUCAAAUCAUCAUGCCCCUUAUGACUUGGGCUACACACGUGCUACAAUGGCGUAAACAAAGGGAAGCAAAGCUGUGAAGCCGAGCAAAUCUCAAAAAUAACGUCUCAGUUCGGACUGUAGUCUGCAACCCGACUACACGAAGCUGGAAUCGCUAGUAAUCGCAGAUCAGAAUGCUGCGGUGAAUACGUUCCCGGGUCUUGUACACACCGCCCGUCACACCAUGGGAGUUGGGAAUGCCCGAAGCCAGUGACCUAACCGAAAGGAAGGAGCUGUCGAAGGCAGGCUCGAUAACUGGGGUGAAGUCGUAACAAGGUA
rnacentral:rRNA from 1 species